UUUCAUCAGGACCUCCUGCAUUUCAGGGAGGGAUGAGUCCUUUUCCUUGGACAAAAUAGCUUCAUCUUUCUCAUGAUUUGUAACUACUGACUAAAGAACCACAAGAAGAUUGAGACUGGCUGCAAGAGGAUGCAAUAUCUGGGAACAGGAAAUCAACUGGGUCUGAUUUUCACCUCAGCUAGGCUGAAAGAGGAAUCCAGGAAUCCAGAUGGAAGUGAUGAGAUAUCUCUGGUACUAAGGAAGAAAAGGAAGAUACUGGCAUCACUGGAGCAUAUUUGUAGAGUUUAUCUCUUUCUUACAACUAAUUAACUAAAGAUAUCUCCAGAUGCUAUUAUGGGAUGAUGACUCCAGCUUGCCCUGCUCAAGCUUCCCAGGGGAAGAUCCAC
ensembl:lncRNA